rnacentral:misc_RNA from 1 species
GAUGAAGAACGCAGCAAAAUGCGAUACUUGGUGUGAAUUGCAGAAUCCCGUGAACCAUCGAGUUUUUGAACGCAAGUUGCGCCCGAAGCCUUUUGGCCGAGGGCACGUCUGCCUGGGCGUCACGCAUCGCGUCGCCCCCCACAAUUCUCCGUAAAGGGAACAUGUGUUUUGGGGGCGGAUAUUGGUCUCCCGUGCUCAUGGCGUGGUUGGCCGAAAUAGGAGUCCUUUCGAUGGACGCACGAACUAGUGGUGGUCGUAAAAACCCUCGUCUUUUGUUUCGUGCUGUUGCUCGCAAGGUAAACUCUUUAAAAACCCCAAUGUGUCGUCUCUUGACGACGCUUCGACCGCGACCCCAGGUCAGGCGGGACUACCCGCUGAGUUUAAGCAUAUCAAUAAGCGGAGGA